rnacentral:rRNA from 1 species
UUAAGCAAUCUAUACGGUGAAAACUGCGAAUGGCUCAUUAAAUCAGUUAUCGUUUAUUUGAUAGUACCUUACUACUUGGAUAACCGUGGUAAUUCUAGAGCUAAUACAUGCUAAAAACCUCGACUUCGGAAGGGGUGUAUUUAUUAGAUAAAAAACCAAUGCCCUCCGGGGCUCCUUUGGUGAUUCAUGAUAACUCGACGAAUCGCAUGGCCUUGCGCCGGCGAUGGUUCAUUCAAAUUUCUGCCCUAUCAACUUUCGAUGGUAGGAUAGUGGCCUACCAUGGUUUCAACGGGUAACGGGGAAUUAGGGUUCUAUUCCGGAGAGGGAGCCUGAGAAACGGCUACCACAUCCAAGGAAGGCAGCAGGCGCGCAAAUUACCCAAUCCCGACACGGGGAGGUAGUGACAAUAAAUACUGAUGCGGAGCUCUUUAGGGUUUCGCAAUUGGAAUGAGUACAAUUUAAAUCCCUUAACGAGGAACAAUUGGAGGGCAAGUCUGGUGCCAGCAGCCGCGGUAAUUCCAGCUCCAAUAGCGUAUAUUAAAGUUGUUGCAGUUAAAAAGCUCGUAGUUGAACCUUGGGCCUGGCUGGCCGGUCCGCCUCACCGCGUGCACUGGUCCGGCCGGGCCUUUCCUUCCGGGGAGCCGCAUGCCCUUCACUGGGUGUGCCGGGGAACCGGGACUUUUACUUUGAAAAAAUUAGAGUGUUCAAAGCAGGCAUAUGCUCGGAUACAUUAGCAUGGAAUAAUGGAAUAGGACGUGUGGUUCUAUUUUGUUGGUUUCUAGGACCGCCGUAAUG